rnacentral:lncRNA from 1 species
CACAAAUAAGUUGAGAACUGUUUGCUGCAAGAUGGCAUCCUGUGAGAGGUGGUGGUUUGGUCCAGCAGCAUAAAAAAGAAGUGUUAGGAGCUGCUCUUAACCCUUUCGGAGUCCGAAGUCAAAAGAUUUCCCACAGUAGAAAAGCAGGGAUAGGACUAGACGGCUGAAAACAUUGCUAGACCUCUUUAAGAGCACCAGCACAUCAAGGUGUGUAUUAUACAGGGAACCAGAGGGCUUGACACAUCCUUUACAUCCUGCAUUUACUCUGACCACAGUCCCUCCCUGUUCUCACAAGUGGAGCUCAGCCCUGCUUCCCUUCCUGUUGAUUCCCAGUCAGCUACAUGAC